rnacentral:rRNA from 1 species
UACGAAUGUGGCAAGCGUUGUUCGGAAUCACUGGGCGUAAAGAAUGCGUAGGCGGCUUGACAAGUCGAGAGUGAAAUCCCAGGGCUUAACCCUGGAACUGCUUUCGAAACUGUUUUGCUAGAGUCCCGGAGGGGUUGGCGGAAUUCCGAGUGUAGAGGUGAAAUUCGCAGAUAUUCGGAGGAACACCAGUGGCGUAGGCGGCCAACUGGACGGGAACUGACGCUGAGGCAUGAAAGUGUGGGGAUCAAACAGG